UCCAGUAGCACCUUAGAGACCAACUAAGUUUGUUAUUGGUAUGAGCUUUCGUAUGCAACCUCAUACCAAUAACAAACUUAGUUGGUCUCUAAGGUGAUACUGGA